rnacentral:tRNA from 1 species
GGCGGUAUAGCUCAGUGGUAGAGCACAUGCUUAGUAUGUGCAAGAUCCGGGGUUCAAUCUCCAGUACCCCCA